GCCGGAGUAGCUCAGCUGGUAGAGCACUCGCCUUGUAAGCGAGCGGCCGUGGGUUCGAGUCCCACCUCCGGCU
rnacentral:tRNA from 1 species